rnacentral:lncRNA from 1 species
CUAGGCUGAACUUCUAAAGUCCUUCCAAGUACAUUUCUCAACCAAAACAAACUCUGUAGGGGCUAUUUGUACCUCAGCAACCCUUCAGUCCUUGCUCUUCUUAACACUGUAGCAGACUUGGUACUGUUUCUGCAACUGAUCUGCAACUGCAAGUAGUCAAAUGGGAUGUGCUGUACACAUGCUCCUGAAAGGUCCAAGAUCCAUUCAUGCCAGGAAAGAAGGGCAGUCAUGGGAAGUCACAAGGUGAAGGAGAAUGUAAGUAAGUAGCCAUGGAUAAAUCACACAUACUUAGUCAAUGGCACUCAAACCUUUGAAGGUAUACACACAAGACUACAGAAGCCCACAGAUAGACUGUCAUCAGGAGAGGAGAAAAUGAAAGCUCAGGCCCCUU